rnacentral:rRNA from 1 species
UAGAGUUUGAUCCUGGCUCAGGAUGAACGCUAGCUACAGGCUUAACACAUGCAAGUCGAGGGGCAUCAUGGAGUUUGCUUGCAAACUCUGAUGGCGACCGGCGCACGGGUGAGUAACGCGUAUCCAACCUUCCCUAUAGUAGAGGAUAGCCCGGCGAAAGUCGGAUUAAUACUCUAUGUUUUCCGUUGCAGACAUCUAAGAUGGAACAAAGGCUUGCCGCUAUAGGAUGGGGAUGCGUCUGAUUAGGUAGUCGGCGGGGUAACGGCCCACCGAGCCAUCGAUCAGUAGGGGUUCUGAGAGGAAGGUCCCCCACAUUGGAACUGAGACACGGUCCAAACUCCUACGGGAGGCAGCAGUGAGGAAUAUUGGUCAAUGGGCGAGAGCCUGAACCAGCCAAGUAGCGUGCAGGACGACGGCCCUAUGGGUUGUAAACUGCUUUUAUGCGGGGAUAAAGUUCACUACGUGUAGUGUUUUGUAGGUACCGCAUGAAUAAGGACCGGCUAAUUCCGUGCCAGCAGCCGCGGUAAUACGGAAGGUCCGGGCGUUAUCCGGAUUUAUUGGGUUUAAAGGGAGCGCAGGCCGGAGGUCAAGCGUGACGUGAAAUGUAGCCGCUCAACGGCUGAACUGCGUCGCGAACUGGCUUUCUUGAGUGAGUUCGAUGUGGGCGGAAUUCGUGGUGUAGCGGUGAAAUGCUUAGAUAUCACGAAGAACUCCGAUUGCGAAGGCAGCCCACAAGGCCUUUACUGACGCUAAAGCUCGAAAGUGCGGGUAUCGAACAGGAUUAGAUACCCUGGUAGUCCGCACGGUAAACGAUGGAUGCCCGCUGUUUGCGAUAUACUGUGAGCGGCCAAGAAAAAUCCUUAAACAUCCCACCUGGGGAAUCCGCCCGCAACGGUGAAACUCAAAGGAAUUGACGGGGGCCCCACAAGCGGAGGAACAUGGGGUUUAAUUUCAAGAACCCGCAAGGAACCUUACCCG